rnacentral:rRNA from 1 species
CGUAGAGAGUUCGAUCCUGGCUCAGGACGACGCUGCGGCGUGCCUAAUCAUGCAAGUCGAGCGCCGGAUUGGGGCUUGCCUUGAUUCGGUCAGCGGCGGACGGGUGAGUAACACGUGGGCAACCUGCCCGCAAGACCGGGAGUAACUCCGGGAAACCGGAGCUAAUACCGGAUAACACCGAAGACCGCAUGGGUCUUCGGUUGAAAGGCGGCCUUUGGGCUGUCACUUGCGGAUGGGCCCGCGGCGCAUUAGCUAGUUGGUGAGGUAACGGCUCACCAAGGCGACGAUGCGUAGCCGGCCUGAGAGGGUGACCGGCCACACUGGGACUGAGACACGGCCCAGACUCCUACGGGAGGCAGCAGUAGGGAAUCUUCCGCAAUGGGCGAAAGCCUGACGGAGCGACGCCGCGUGAGCGAAGAAGGCCUUCGGGUCGUAAAGCUCUGUUGUGAGGGACGAAGAGCGCCGUUCGAAGAGGGCGGCGCGGUGACGGUACCUCACGAGAAAGCCCCGGCUAACUACGUG